AUGGCUCCCCGCCAUUACCAGCCACGCACCGGCGUCCGGUCCGGCCGCAGCCGCCGUGCGCGCAUGGCUCCUCGGAAGCAGCAAGGGCCCGUGCGCGCGGUGCUCUGCCUGGCCGUCCAAGGAGAGGACGCAGGCACGCGAAGAGGCGCCAUUCCAUUCUGCGAUGGCUGGCUGGGCAGGCACGCCCUUCCUUGGCGCGCGCCCAUGCACGUACUCCUCCUCCUCCUCCUCCUCCUACUACUAGUACAUCCGGCCCGUAGUGAACAGCAGCACUGCGAUGCGAUGCGAUGCGCCGGUGCGACUUUGAAAGCGCCAAGAGGCCCAAUCAGCAGGCUGCCUUGUGCACCUAGCUAG
rnacentral:rRNA from 1 species